UGGAUCGUGGUGAAAUGGGUAUCACGCCUCCCUUUGGAGGAGGUUUUCCUAGUUCGAAUCUAGGCGAUCCAGCCA
rnacentral:tRNA from 1 species